UACAGAGGGUGCGAGCGUUGUUCGGAAUUAUUGGGCGUAAAGGGCGCGUAGGUGGGCUGGUAAGCCCGUGGUGAAAUCUCCAGGCUUAACUUGGAAACUGCCAUUGAUACUAUCAAUCUUGAAUACCGUGGAGGUCAGCGGAAUAUGUCAUGUAGCGGUGAAAUGCUUAGAUAUGACAUAGAACACCAAUUGCGAAGGCAGCUGGCUACGCGGAUAUUGACACUGAUGCACGAAAGCGUGGGGAUCAAACAGG
rnacentral:rRNA from 1 species